GAGGAUGAGUUUAUUUAGUUACGCUUCCAUUCAUUUUUCUUUCCUAUGUUGACGGCACAAUCUUUAAGGUGCCUUUUAGAACUUCUUGGCAUACAAAAGCAAAUGAACAAGCCAUAUUCCCUGUCCUUGGGAGAAGCCAAAAGGAGUUAAGAAGGAAAUUGUAUUCAACAUCAAAACAUAACAAGAUGAGAAGCUGCAAAUACGAAGUAAAGUAAAAUACGAAGGGAACAAGGAUAUGUACAGAUCAUCCGUUAAUCAAAAAAAAACAGUCAACGUCAACUGUAAUCAAGGAGAUCACGAAAUACUAAUGGGAUUUUCCGGUCUUUAUCAACAAAUAAUAUCUAAGUUUACAAAAUUCAACAGCACCCAGUAACCUAAAGUUAAUAAAAUUGAAAAUCUGUCCUUUUUGCACCACAAAUUGCCGCAAUAUACAACAGCCCCUUUCACCCUCAGUGAGCGAAAAUAAGUGAACAAGGCUUUGUAUUUACAAAUUACAGCAAUCCUGCAAGUGAGCGAUAGAAAAAAAAACACAUUUGAGAGCAGCUGAUAAGAAAGUACUACGCUUGACUCUUGAGGAUAAAAAUUCCACAGCAACUGAUGAAAUAUUUCAAUAAGGAAAAUGGAGGAGGAGGGAGAGGAUAUCGCACCUAUCUAGACACUGCUAAUAAGAUAGAGAUAGCAGAUAAACGGAGGCCGGCCGCAAGAAGAGAGUAUAGCAGGUGAGAGUUCUGAUCGGACCAAAUUCCCCAAGUUUGCUUUUAUAAUAUUUCUUGUACGGCAGGAUCGCUGUUUGGCGUUCCGUAUAGGCCAUGUUUGG
rnacentral:lncRNA from 1 species